GAAACAUUGAUUCUCCCCUGAUCACCAAAGUUAAGCAAUAUUGAGUUUGAUUAGUACCUAGAUGGGUGACUGCUUGUGAAUACCAGGUGCUGUAA